CCGGUGCCGGUGCAGGAUGGCGCAGAAGGCCAGGCCGUCCCGGAAGGAGCCGCUCAGGUGAAGGCCGCAGGGGUCCCAGGAGUGGCCUGGAAGAGCUGGGGAGACUCCUGGGUGCCCUUCGUCCAACAUGACCCAGGGGCAAGGAUUCUAUCCUCUAGGAACUCAGCCUCAGGGGCCCCAAGAUGUCCACACAAAGAUGUUUAUUGUUUGAUAACAACAGUGCUGGGAACAACCUCAGUGUUCAUUAUAAAGGGAACGGGUCAUCAGGUUUCAGCAGCUGGACAAGGCCACACAGCUGUUAAAAAGAAGAACGUCAUGGAGAUAAACCCCAAAGAAGUGAAAAAAGCAAACAGAAUGGCAGGCCCAUGACACGCACCACCCUUUACUGAUGAGGAUCCAGCCCUGAGAGAGUCAAGCCUGCUGGAAGCCAUGCAUCUGUCAAAAGGAGCCCCUGGCCGCCCGCCUCACUCUUUCCUGGCCAAGGACUCUUGCCACCAAGAAGCUUCACAGGCAUGUUGAGUGUCACAGGCGCACGUGUCGAGUGUCACAGGUGCUGCCUCUGCUCAGGUGACCCUGGGGCUCCUGGUCCAUUUGGAUUCUAGAAUGUUACCCAGAAAUCUAGAACCUCAGGGCUGCAGUCCUCAGACAAUGGCAGCUGGUUCUACCACCUCAUUUUGGAGAUUAGGAGGUUGUCAUUAGCCACCCAAGGUCAAGGUCAUACUGGGAAGAGAAAGCUGUGGGCAGAGUGAAGGAUCAAGGUCACUCUUCAGUGAAUAAGGCAGAGAGAGACUGUGUGAGAAGGAAACCAAAGCCUCCAGAGGCUGGUCUAUGUGCAGGAGCAGCCCUGGAGUUUGAAAACCAGGUUACUAGGAGAGCUGUUCUCUGCCUCUGUCCAAGUUCUAAUGCCCUGGACACCACCACCUGAAUGUCCUCCAGGCUCCUCAAACUCAUGUGCCAAUCCAGUUCUUCAUCACCUUCAUGUGCCUCUGGGUCCAAACCUGCUCCACCCACCCCCACCGCAGGGAGUGGCUAUACUGUCUCCCCAGCUGGGCAUCUCCUCCAACCCCUCCACCAGCCAGCCACCAAGUCCUGUGCUCUGGAAGCUGCUCAAUCACUCUUGAACUUCCCUUCUCACCCCACACCUACUGCCACCUCUCUGUUCGAGACCCAGCUCCUCUGGGCUGGGCUGCUCCAGCCAGGUGCCUCAGCCUGUCUGUGAAGUGGCAUCUGCCCCAUCUCGGGCCUGCCUUUGGUUCUUGGAGGAAUAGGCAGUGGAGAAAGCCCCUAGGUGAGUCUGGGGGCUGCGAGCCACAGUUCCAUGGCAAAGGAACCCUGCUGAUGCACACGGGGGUCUCUGUAAGCUGACCGAUGCCCAAGGUCACAUCCAGCUAACAACCAUGGCCUCUGUUCCCUAAUCACACAGCAUGGCCCAGCACUGAGCUCAGUAUGUCACAGAACUUAUGCAAACCCGAGGCAGGAGUUAUCCCCAUUUUAUAGAUGAGGCAUCGAGAAGCUAUGUAACAUGGACCUAGAUUACACAGCUAGUAGGUGGAGCCAGGGUUCAGAGGCAGGUGUGACUAAGCCCUGGCCCACACACCUUGCUGUGCUACCCGUAACUGGCACCACCCAGAACUCCCCGUUCUGAUAACCACCCUCACUCCGAGGCUGGGAGGACUGUGGGCUUACUUCUUCCAUUCUGGGCAAGCUGCAUGAAAACCCUGCGAGUUGGCUGCAGCUGCUGAAUGCCCUGCAUUCCUCAGGCGGUGCCAGGCGGAUUCAGCUGUGCCUGCCCCCUCACAAGUGCUGCGGACUGCCCAGGCACUGCCGCUGGACCUGGACCAAGCCAUGAGAGAUGGCCCCAGGGCAGGGUCUGUGUGAUCUUGGGCCCCUGAAGUAGUGUGUCGCCCAGCAAGUUAAGACAUCCCACAGGCCAUGUCAGACUCGGCACACCUUGACCUGGCAUCAUCUUAGUACCACAGACCAGAGAUUCUUUGAACUGAGACCCUGGCAUUUCAUUUAAAAUAGGUUAAUCCUUGGGCCUCCCCAGUGGCGC